AGUUAGGCUCUAAAGAUUAUGGAUAACCAAAGCUCGUGCUCAUGCCAUAUAUAUAGAUAGGAGUGAAAUUCAUAAUGAAAAAGAAGAAACAAAAAGAAAAAUAAAAGAUGAAACGUUAAGCUAGUCUUAAAGUUAAUUCAGCAACCGUUUCUCCGACAACGACGCCAGAAAGCUUGUUGGUAUUUUUUAAUAUACAUAGAAUAA
rnacentral:lncRNA from 1 species